rnacentral:rRNA from 1 species
CCUACGGGAGGCAGCAGUGAGGAAUAUUGGUCAAUGGACGAGAGUCUGAACCAGCCAAGUAGCGUGAAGGAUGACUGCCCUAUGGGUUGUAAACUUCUUUUAUAUGGGAAUAAAAUGUUCCACGUGUGGGAUUUUGUAUGUACCCUAUGAAUAAGGAUCGGCUAACUCCGUGCCAGCAGCCGCGGUAAUACGGAGGAUCCGAGCGUUAUCCGGAUUUAUUGGGUUUAAAGGGAGCGUAGGUGGAUUGUUAAGUCAGUUGUGAAAGUUUGCGGCUCAACCGUAAGAUUGCAGUUGAAACUGGCAGUCUGGAGUACAGUAGAGGUGGGCGGAAUUCGUGGUGUAGCGGUGAAAUGCUUAGAUAUCACGAAGAACUCCGAUUGCGAAGGCAGCUCACUGGACUGCAACUGACACUGAUGCUCGAAAGUGUGGGUAUCAAACAGGAUUAGAUACCCGGGUAGUC